rnacentral:rRNA from 1 species
GUACACUCCUGCGGGAGGCAGCAGUGGGGAAUAUUGGACAAUGGGCGCAAGCCUGAUCCAGCCAUGCCGCGUGAGUGAUGAAGGCCCUAGGGUUGUAAAGCUCUUUCACCGGUGAAGAUAAUGACGGUAACCGGAGAAGAAGCCCCGGCUAACUUCGUGCCAGCAGCCGCGGUAAUACGAAGGGGGCUAGCGUUGUUCGGAUUUACUGGGCGUAAAGCGCACGUAGGCGGACUAUUAAGUCAGGGGUGAAAUCCCGGGGCUCAACCCCGGAACUGCCUUUGAUACUGGUAGUCUUGAGUUCGAGAGAGGUGAGUGGAAUUCCGAGUGUAGAGGUGAAAUUCGUAGAUAUUCGGAGGAACACCAGUGGCGAAGGCGGCUCACUGGCUCGAUACUGACGCUGAGGGGCGAAAGCGUGGGGAGCAAACAGGAUUAGAAACCCUAGUAGUCCCA